rnacentral:rRNA from 1 species
UACGAAGGGAGCUAGCGUUGUUCGGAAUCACUGGGCGUAAAGCGCACGUAGGCGGAUGUGUCAGUCAGGGGGUGAAAAUCCCGGAGCUCAACUUCGGAACUGCCCUUGAUACAGCACGUCUUGAGUCCGGAAGAGGUGGGUGGAAUUCCUAGUGUAGAGGUGAAAAUUCGUAGAUAUUAGGAAGAACACGGUGGCGAAGGCGGCCCACUGGUCCGGUACUGACGCUGAGGUGCGAAAGCGUGGGAGCAAACAGG